rnacentral:rRNA from 1 species
AGGUUUGAUCGUACCAGCGUUAAUGCACCGUAUCCCAUCGGAACUCUGCAGUUAAGCGUUCUUGGGCUAGAGUAGUACUGGGACGGGUGACCUCCCAAGAAGUCCUAGUGUUUCACCCU